UUUCCAUGAGCUUCUGCAAUAAUAAUAAUAAUAAUAAUACAUUUUAUUUCAGGCGCCUUUCUGUCACUCAAGGACACCUUACAAAGUGCAAAAUAAGCAUUAAAUAAACAUACAAAAUACACAACAUUUAAAAACAGGUUAAAAAGGGAAAACAAUCAGAUGGAAUAGGCAAUUUUAAACAGGUGAGUUUUGAGGGUGGAUUUGAAUUGUGAGAGUGAGUUAAUUUGUCUGAUAUGAGGUGGUAAAGAGUUCCAGAGUUGGGGAGCAGAGCGGCUGAAGGCUCUGCUCCCCAUGGUGGUGAGGCGAGCAGUAGGGACGGUAAGGUGGAUGGAGGAAGAAGAUCGGAGGGAACGAGAUGGAAUUACAACCUGAAGAAGAUUAGAGAGAUAUGGUGGAGAAAGAUUGUGAAUGGCCUUAAAGGUGAGCAGGAGGAUUUUGUAAUUGAUACGGAACUUUACUGGGAGCCAGUGGAGCUGUUGGAGAACAGGAGUGAUAUGAUGGGGGUUCUACUGAUGAUACGGGCAGCUGAAUUCUGGGCCAGUUGAAGCUUAUGGAGAGUUUUAUUGGUGAGACCAAAGAGAAGAGAGUUGCAAUAGUCUAAUCGAGAGGUGACAAGGCUGUGUACAAGAAUGGCAGUGGCAUGAGGAGUAAGAGAAGGGCGAAGACGGUUUAUAUUGCGGAGGUGGAAGUACGCAGACCGGGUAAUGUUGUUGAUGUGUGAUUGAAAUGAGAGAGUACUGUCCAGGAUGACACCCAGACUCUUUACCUGUGGGGAGGGGGAGACGGAACAGUUGUCAAUGUUAAGAGACAGACUGUUGGUUUUGGAUAGUAUUGAUUUUGUGCCUACGAGGAGAACCUCAGUUUUAUCACUGUUAAGUUUUAGUAGAUUUGAAUUGAACCAUAGUUUUAUUUCAGACAAACAGUCAGUAAGGUAGGAGGGUGGAAGAUUUGAAUUGGGUUUGGUGGCAAGGUAGAGCUGGGUGUCGUCCGCAUAACAGUGGAAAUGGAUGUUGUAUUUGCGGAAGAUAUUUCCAAGGGGAAGGAGAUAAAUGAUGAAUAGGAGGGGCCCCAGGACAGAGCCCUGGGGCACACCUGAAGUGACAGGAGAAGGCAGAGAAGUAAAAGUUUUGAGCUGAAUGAACUAAGUGCGAGAGGUGAGGUAUGAUUUAAACCAAUUUAAAGGAGUCUGAGUGAUACCAAUGGAAACUAGUCUAUUGAGGAGUGUGGUGUGACAGAUGGUGUCAAAUGCUGCACUAAGGUCAAGAAGGAUGAGGAUGGAGAGUAAACCAGAAUCAGCUGCCAUGAGGAGGUCAUUAGUGAUUUUUAUGAGCGCGGUUUCUGUACUGUGGAGAGGGCGAAAUCCAGAUUGGAACUGUUCAUACAGGUUGUUGCAAGACAGAUAAGUAUGUAGUUGAGCAGCUACUGUUUUCUCAAGGAUUUUUGAGAUAAAGGGUAGAUUAGAGAUUGGCCGUAGGUUAUUAAAAUUUGUGGGGUCAGCACCAGAUUUUUUUAAGAUUGCGGUUAUUGCAGCAGUUUUAAAUGACGCAGGAACAGUUCCAGUGGAGAGAGAAGAAUGGAUAAUAGCGGAAAUUAGAGGGAGCAAGGAAGGGAGGCAGGCUUUGACCAGGCCUGUAGGGAGAGGGUCUAGCUGACAGGUGGAUGGUUUAGAUUUACGGAUGAGAUCUGAAAUUUCCGAAUUUGAGGGAAGCUGAAACGAGGAAAAAGAGUGGACAGGGGGGGAAAGUUCAGGAAAUAUGCCAAGCGUAGGUUGUGAAGUGAGAUGUUUAUGAAUGUUCAGAAUUUUUUCAUUGAAAAAUGACAUGAGGGAGUUACAGAAAGCAGUUGAGCAGAGGUGAGAUGGCAGAGAGUCUGGGGCUUGGGUGAUAUUCUUAUAUAAUGAAAAUAGUGACUUGUUACCUUCAUUGGAACAGAUUAGACUAGUGUAGUAGUUGGAUUUGGAUGCGGUGAUGCAGUCCUUAUAGUGUAGCAUAUGAUUUUUGUAAAUGUCCUUGUGAAUAGUUAGACCAGUUUUCUUACAGAGCCGCUCAAGUUGCCGUCCUUUGGCUUUCAUGAGCCGAAGUUCGGGCGUGAACCAGGGGGCAGACUGAGAAAAGGAAACAGACCUGGUUUUUAGCGGAACGAGAGAGUUGAGUAUGUGGUGGAGUCCAGUAUUAUAGUGUGAUAUCAGCUCUUCAAGGGUAGUUGAGUUGAGAGUGUUUGUGAGGUGGUGAAUAGAUGAGGAAAGAGAAUCUAAAUUAAUGUUCUUAAUGUUACGGAAAGAAAUGAGACGGGGGGGCUUAGAGAUGGAGAGAGGGAGAUUAAUAGAGAAUGAGAGCAGGAAAUGGUCAGUUAUAGGGAGAUAAUCUGUUGUAAAGUAGGAAGGUGAGACACCAGAGCAGCAAAUCAAGUCCAAAAUGUGACCUUUAGUGUGAGUGGGAGCAUCUGUGUGCUGCUGGAAUCCAAAACUGUCAAGACAAGAUGUAAAGUCUUUGGUAAGAGGGUUAUUGAUAUUGUCCAUAUGAAUAUUGAAAUCUCCCAGCACUAUAUUAUUUGGUGAGAGGGUGGAGAGAUGAGUAAGCAGAGCAGCAAAAUCAUUGAGAAAGUGGUUGUUUUGUUUUGGGGGACGAUAGACAGUUGUAAUGAUAGUGGGAAUAGGUCCAGACAAUUGACACACUGUUGAUUCAAAGGAGGAGAAGGUAGGCACAGACACCGGCGAUACUUUACACUUCUCGCGGUGAAUUAUCGCGAGACCUCCCCCCCUCCGGCCGGUGUCACGAGGUUGGCAAAUGUAAACAAACCCCGGAGGAGUGCAUUCAUUAAGUUGUACAAAGUCAUUUGGUUGUUGCCAGGUCUCAGUUAAACAGAGAAAGUCAAGCUUACGGUCGAUGAGGAGAUCCUGGAUGAGAUGUCCCUUGCUUGUGAGUGAGCGAAUGUUAAGAAGACCGAAGUUGACAGUGGAGUUGUCUGGUUUGCGGGGGUGUUAGCCGACCGGGCUAAGCAGGCUAGCACACUGUGGUCAACAGCCCGGCUGUAGUUGCGAGAUGGACAGCGAGAAGUGGACCAGAUGGAUUUUAUUUCUUUCGUUGAGUCCUCGUGGAAGUUUCGGCGAGAUCCGCGGUGGAUGUAUCUCCGGCGGGGAAGGAAAGCUGCAUCCGAAUGGAGGAGUAGUGCAGCCAACGGAGGAUCAGACAGUUGGUACCGCAGCCGGAGGAGUUCAGCAGCGGAGUACUGAAGCAAGCCCGUCGCGGGUUGGUGAACAAAUGCCAGGAGAAGCCACAGAAGCACGGACCAGAUGUGGGUCAUGCCGGUCAACAUUGUGAUCGAGGACUCAGGUAGAUUGAUCAGGUGCGCAGAGGCAGGUAAGGCUCAGAAGCUGUCCGUAUAACAACACAGAAGUGUAGACUAAUUUUCAAAAACAGAUGUAAAGUCUGCCAGAUGAGAUCUUGUGUAUCAUUCUUUUGUCCUAGGUCGCAGGACCAAAGACCGUAGGACAGCUUAAAAAAUACAAAUAUUAAAAUUCCGGGCGAGCAGCGGCAGCAAGUCGCGCCAGCGUUCACUCUAGAACCGGAUCCCAAUGUCACACAAUAAGGAAGCAGACAACUCAAGCAAUUCACUCACUGUAAAUAUGGAUCCUCUUGAUGCAAAAAAACGGCAGAGCAAGACCGUGUAUUCUUGCUAUGGAUUCUUUAUUGAGAUGUUGUGAUGACGACACAACUUUCAGCUACAUCAGAGGCUUUUUAAGUGCAGCCUGGGAACAAAAUCACAAAACGGCAAGAAAUUUUUCUUCACUUCCUGUCAUUUCUGUUGCUGUUCCCCAACAAAUUAACUAAUCCUGUUUGCAAAGCAUUUGCUGGAGGAUCUUCCAAUUGACUUGUCAAAGAAUGAAAUUGAUAAAAGCCACUGGUUCACUGUUGAGGAUGCAAAGAUGGCAAGGAGAGAGUUAAGGGAGAGGAUCCUCAAAUCAUGUGAACUUGGUGGAGGUACCUGCAUUUUUGUUGUACCCUGUCGGUUAGUGAAAGAAAGCACAUGUUUUUUUUCCCUCAUAAUCAUAAGAAUCAGAGACAUUGUUUUAAAUGUCUUUUAACAAGCUUUGCACAGUUGAAAGCAAUGAGACGAACAUUUCAGAUGAAAUUGCCAUUCAAAAAGUGAAGGUGAGAAAGACGGACAGGAGAGAAGUGAAAAGAGGAGAGAAAGGAGGUAACAAACUGAAAAGCAAAUGGAAUGUAGAUCAAAGGAAAAUGGUCAAGAACAAAACACAGAAGAUGAGAAAGUUAAACAGGAGACAGCAAGAAGCUCUAGAGAAGGUUUAGAUCCAGAUCUAGAAAAGAAGACUGAGUACAAAACAAGUGAAAAAGAAGAGAAAACAGGUGAUGUAGCUUGUGAUAAACAAGAAAAUGUUAUGGAACUGCUUGAAGCUAUUGUGAAGGGAGAAAGCUUUGAGGAUUCUGUAAAAGAAGAAGAAAUACCAGAACAAGAUGGAAGAAAAUGGGAACAGACUCAGGAAAAAGAAGAGGUAAAAAGGGAAGGAACAUAGUACAAGGUUCUUGAAAGAGUAACAGUAACAGGAAAACAUUACUUUGUUGAUGAGGCAGAAAUAAAAAGACGAGUGAAGGGAGAGAACAUGUCGGCAAAUGUGUUCAGAAGCCUGAUCAGGGUUCCCCGCAAAGUACUUGCACAACCCAAGAAGGCUAAGACCCAGGUGAGCAUAUUCAGUGCUCUUUCAGCCCAGGAUCUUGCUCUCGGGUAUGGCUCCAGCCUAACUAAAAACAUCUCAAAGUACAGACUCUUGAUGGGCAUUCCGGCAGAUGAUGCACAAGUCACAGUGAAGACCAUACAGACUAUGAUAAGAAACUUAAAUGAGCUGGGUCCAGAUUCUGAUUUUGCUAUAAAAACACACACAAUUAAUUUUGGCCCAGUUGCAACAGAUCUUUGCUUGUCUUUUGUUGAGGAUCAGCUAAAAUAGUUGAUUCAUUCACAAUAGUGUAAAGUUCUUGUGACAGAAAACAAAACAUACAAAUCACAAAUUCAUUGAAAGUUUAAAGUUACACAUUCUUGACACAAACAGAAAAGAAAAUGUACAGAAUGCAAAUUCAAUCUUACAUUUUUGGUUAUGGUUCAACUUUACUUCUUUAUAUACAUUUUGUUUUGCAUAUUUAUUUUUACUGACUUUUACCUACUUUGUUUUUUUUAGUUCUCUUACACUUUCUGAGUUUUUGAGUUUUUCUUUUUUUCAUAGGAAAGCUCUUUGAGUUUGUUGCCUCAUCACAAAGACUAUCUUUUCUCUUUUUUGUUCUGUUUGGAAAAAGUGGGCAUAAUUUCCUUGAAUUGUCAUUACUGAAGCUCUGAAUAAAGCUUGAUGCAGUUUGGUUGUUUUCUCUACGAACUUCAACUCCAAGCUGAUAUAUCUGAGUUGAUAUAUGUUCUGGAAUUGUUUUUCAUCUACGAACAACUUCUAGUAUUUUCUCCAGCUCCCUUACUGAUAAACUGUUUUUCUGAUGGACAUCAACAUUUGGAGAGACACAAUAGCUCUGCACGUGUGAAAUACUCUCAGAUUCAAAAGUUUUACAAAGAACUUUGUGUGCAACAACAAGACAAGCACAUUUUUUGUAGUGUGAAAAAGAACAGCAUGUGCAUGUGUUCAUAGUAAUGCAAGGUUUGGAUACUCUGUUUUUGGACAAGCCUUCAAUGCUCAGUCGAUUGUUUUUGGGGCAAACAAGUGUAUAUUUCUGGCAUUUCAGCAAGUAAGCAGCAUGGACUUUUAAUUGUGCUUCUAUAUCUGGAAUUUUUUUGUCAUCAUCACUUUGUAGUAAAUGAAUCAAAAGCAAAUGUUUGCAUUUCUGGCCUCUACAGCCAGUCAUGCAACUGCAAUAAUGUUCAACUCCCGAAAGGAAUUGGUACUUGAGGUGAUGGAAAAACCUUUACAACAGAUAUAAAAAGAAAACAGUAUCAAGUGGGUUGCAAGCAAUUAUCUACAAUGUAACUUCAUGACUACAAAUGUAAUAGUAGUGGUGUCCAGCUGUCUUUUCUAUGCUGUGGUGUGCUGGGGAGGAAGCAUGAAGAAGAGGGACGAGAUGCGUCUGGACAAGCUGGUCAGGCGGGCGGGGUCCGUGGUUGGUGUGGAGCUAGACUCUGUGGUAACGGUGGCAGAGAGGAGGACACUGCAAAAACUACUCUCCAUCAUGGAUGAUGAUGGUCACCCACUGCAUUUCAUCAUCAUGGAUCAGAGGAGCAGUUUCAGUGGCAGGCUCCUGUCACAGAGCUGCUCUACGGACAGACUGAGAAGAUCGUUCGUUCCGAGAGCCAUCAGACUCUUCAACUCCUCAAAGUGGAGCCGGAAGAGAGAGGACAGAUGAGAAACGAGUCUCAAUAUGUGCUUUCUUAAUCAGCCUUUUUUUAUCUGUACUGGAAAGCACCCUACACAUCUACACCCUGGGACUCUUUUGCCUUUUUACUGUAUAUACUGUUCAUUUGCAUCCCUGGACACUUGGCACUUUACUGUACA